AGGAUGAACGCUGGCGGCGUGCCUAAUACAUGCAAGUCGAGCGGGAGAAUCAUCCUCCGGGAUGAGGAUCCAGCGGCGAACGGGUGAGUAACACGUGGGCAACCUGCCCGCAAGACCGGGAUAACCUCCGGGAAACCGGGGCUAAUACCGGAUAGGCCUUUUCCCCGCAUGGGGAAAAGGGGAAGGCGGCUUCGGCUGUCGACUUGCGGAUGGGCCCGCGGCGCAUUAGCUGGUUGGUGAGGUAACGGCUCACCAAGGCGACGAUGCGUAGCCGACCUGACGUAGGGGUCGAAGUCCGGGCCACGACGUUGGGACUGGAGACGACCGGCCCAGACCGUCCGUACGGGAGCGAGCGAGGUACGGUAA
rnacentral:rRNA from 1 species